rnacentral:lncRNA from 10 species
GGGACUUACUUUGUGUGCCAAGCACCAUGAAAAAUGAUUUAUAAAUGAGAUCUCAUUUAACCUCCUACACUUAAUGCUAAGAAAGUUUCCAUUCCAGUAACCUAUCCACAUCCUGCCUUACUCUGGCAAGCCCACGCAUCUCUGGCCCCAAAGACCUGGCCAGCUGUCUGAAUCACGUAUGCUGCUGAUGGCUUUGAACAUCAUCCUUUGCCCUCCUAGUAGAACAUCUGUGAUGGGCCUCUGCCACUGGAACAACAUGUAUUCUACACACUCUGGUUGAAGGCACCCAUGGCCAGAUACAAAAACUGGAGGCCCAGAGAGGUGAAGUGACCUGUCUCAAGGCAGCAGGAGGAGAAGCCCAAGAAAUCUGGCUCCCAAGAUUGUACUUUUCACCCGAUCUCUAGAUUUAGUCCUAGAGAUACAAGAGACCUGAAAGAUCACCCAAUCCAACUCCCUUAUGCUAUCAAUAGGCGAAACUGAGAGCCAGCUAGGGAAAGGAAUGUUUUUCUGAGCCAUGAGCAUUUUUUAAGAACAUUUGUUUAACAAAAAAUUUUAAGCAUCUACCAAUGCCAGACCCUGUGCUAGGUGCUGGGGAUAUCCAGUGCUUUUUUUAAAAGACAAAAAUCUUGCCCUCAUGAAGCUUAUAUUGCAGAGGGAGAGAAAGACUAUAAACAAAUUAAUGAAAUAAAUGUGGUGUAUUAGAUGUUGAUGAGUACUAUAAGAAAAAUGAAAUGAGGAAGAGGCAUAAGGAGUAUGGAUAACUUUAAUUUUAAAUAGGGUAGUGAGGGAAGAUCUCACUGAAAAGGGACAUAAUUUGAAUUAAGACCUGAAGGAGGUAAGGGAGUAAAUUAUUUGAAUGUUUUGGGGAAGAUUUUUCCAGGCAGACAUAACAGUGUGGCUGGAACAGAGUGAGCAUGAGGAAAAGUCGUAGGAUAUGAUGUUGUAGAGCUAACGAGGGAACAAACCAUGCAGGCACUUGUAAGUCAUUGUAAGGAUUUUUUUUCAUUUUGUUAAGUAUUUAUUGAUCAGCCUUUUUGCAAUAGACACAGUUCUAAUUACUCAGGAUACUGUGUUGAGUACUUGCAUUUAAACUCCCAGAUCUCAUUUUUUUAAACCUACAUACAUCAACAGUACAUAGCCAUCAUGCCAAAAACAGUUGAUACAUUAAAAGGAGACAUUCUCCAGACCAAUGGAGACAAUUCAACAAAAUGUAUGAGUGAACAAGGAGUCCUAGCUCUCAAUUUGUUGUUACCUAUAUGUGAAAUAUUGGAGAUACCAUUUAGCCUACCAAGGCCUUAACAUUUAACUAUAUGCUCUUCAUAUUUAUACUUAUUUAAGAUCUAACUAGCUGCUCUUUAAAGCUUGUAACAAACAGAAAUUUAACUAGAUGAUUUUUCAGGCUUAUUUCAAGUAAAAAGAAACUUAAAGUUUUUCUUUUAAUCUCUCAAAUCAGUGGUUUUCAAAGUGUGGUCCCCUACCAGAAGCCUAGAAAUUUGUUAAAAUGCAAAUUUUAGACCUCACCCUAGACAUACUGAACCACAUACCCUGGGGCAGGGAGUGUAGCAAUCUUUGUUUUAACAAGUUCUGAUGGGUACUAGAGUUUCCCAACCACCUCCUGGACAUAUAUGAUAUAUUUAAUAGUAAAUAUAUGUAUGGAUAACUUUUCUUUUUUAUUUUUCCAUAAGUUAUUGGGGUAC